rnacentral:lncRNA from 1 species
CCUCACAGCCGCUGCCGUCACUAUCUUCUCUCGAACGCCCCAUCUUAUCUCGACUCUUCCCUUUCUUGCUACUUAGCAGUCGUCGUCUCUCCUCACCUCCGAUCGAUGACUCUGAUCAACUAUGGCUUCCACAUUUGAUGAAUCUCAGGCCAAAAGAGAGGUAAACUCUCGAUUUAUCCCUUUCAUUUUUACGAUUUCUAACCUUAAUUGAUUCUAAUCCUCAUCGUAUCAUCUUCUAUGAUGGGAGGUCGGCGAAGGGACUGGCUCGAUCUUCUUCUGGCUGAAAUGAUCAUAGAUCGGUAAAGUCUCGUUCCCUCUCGAUCUGUGUUUUUUUCUUACAUUCUAUUCGAAUCUAAAAGUCGUCUCCGAUCUUUCGAAUCGCAGUGGUGGGAACUAAGUGAGCACUAAAUGAGCAGGUAUGACCCUAACUUGUUGAGUCUGUGAACCCUUGUUUUUUUCGUCAGUUGUUUUUUGUUGUAGUAUUGGUUUGACCGACUCUUUGACUGCUCAAUACAAGCUAAUCCAUCUUAAAUCAUUCAUACUUAAAUCGAUUGUUUCACUUUAGACUUUAUCAAUUCUUUGACUCUGCUUAUUGUUGGUUGACCGAUCCUAGCCUAUACAACGAAUCGAUUGUUGUUUAUACUAUCAACCAAAACCAGUGUAAUCUAUCUUCAGUUAGAAUCACCCCUUGUAACUCACAUUUUCGUGCCCGGAAUCACUACUAAUCUAACCUAGUCCAACACUUUAGUCAUGAUAAGUUUAAUGAUGAUGAUAUGUCAUGUAAACAGGAUUAGUGGAAUAAGUAUUUUAAAUGUUUGCUUGAUUAUGUACCUUUCAACCUUGUUAUGAUUACGGAUUUCCUUGAUUAAUGAUUCUAAUUGUUGAAGCUUCUUCUUGCGAGGUGGUUUGAUGAUGCUUACUGCAAGGGCUCGAUAGUACUGAUAAUGGUGAGCUGGAGUAUGGUUUUAUGCGAGGUUGAGUGUAGUUCAAUGUGAAACUUAGGGCGGUGAGUGUGAUAUGAGAGUAAUUUCGGAUUAAUGAUCACACCGUUUUGUGUUUUCUUUUCGCUUGAUUUUUCUGAUUUCAGAGCUUUUUUGUGUUCUAGUUACUCUGGAAUUUUCCUCAGCAUUUCGCCCUUUAUCUGUAGCCAAAAAUUGGUGUAAUAGUGAGUUUCCUAAAAUGUCCCCCACAGGUCUAUCAUAUCCCUAGUAAGCCAGAUGAGCCUGCCAUACGUGGGCCUCAUCUUCUCUGGAAACUGAAUCAAUUCGGUUAUCGUUUUAUAUCAUAGUUCACCUACAUUUGGUUCGGUAAAAUCCUAAAUACUUUUUAUAUUUUUCGAAAUAAACUUGGGGAUUUCGAUAGAAUUUGACACAUCAAUGAACAUUCGUAUCUCGAAAGAAUCGGAUUUUAAAAGGCGAAAAUAACCCUUCAGUCGAUCUAAAAUCUGACCUAUCUGCCUUUACUAAUUUACCUGGCCAAUCUGAUUUUGAACUAAUUCGAGAUUGACCAGUUGGCCUAACCAUCACUGUUGACUCAACCGAUUACGUUUUGAAUUGAACCGAGUUUAACUAGUCAGCCAGCCUAAAAAAUGCUCAGGGGCAAAAUCGUCUUUUACACCGAAUGACACUUAAAUUGAUCUGAUUUAACCGAAUUUGCCCGGAAAUUAACUUAAUUGGAUCGCAACUAAAUCAUGACGUUUCUCCUUAGGCACUUAUGAGCGGUAUAGGUGAUUAGGCUAAUUAAACCUUAUAUUAUACUCGAAAAUUUCAUCGCUUCACCUAAUUGGACUAAACUUCAACGAUGAACUCGAACCGGAU